rnacentral:rRNA from 1 species
UACAGAGGUGGCAAGCGUUGUUCGGAAUUACUGGGCGUAAAGGGCGCGUAGGCGGUCUUGUCAGUCCCUUGUGAAAUCCCCCGGCUCAACUGGGGAACUGCACGGGAAACAGCAGGGCUUGAGUUCGGGAGAGGGAAGCGGAAUUCCGGGUGUAGCGGUGAAAUGCGUAGAUAUCCGGAGGAACACCGGUGGCGAAGGCGGCUCUCUGGGACGGUACUGACGCUGAGACGCGAAAGCGUGGGGAGCGAACAGGAUUGAGACUAC